UAGAAGAUCUGUGCUUGAGGUUACUUAUACCUAUUAUUGUAUAUAUUGGCAACUGAAUAAUAAUAAUUUUUAAGAUUUAUUAUACACAUAGUGGGUUACUAGUUUCGCUAAUUAGUCAUGGAUCAGGAUCUUAUGUGAUAAAGUAUGGAAAAAGAUAUAUUUCUGAGAAAUUCAGAACAUCUCUCGCCUCUAGACUUAUAACUCUCUUGCCUUAAGUACGAAAACGAACGUGCUGAAGUCCUUGCAUACUUUUCAAAGCACUUGUACGAAGGAGCGGCACUUCUGGAGAUUUCUCUCUCUGCACACCUCUAUUUCUUGCUCCCACUGGCUUCGUAUUCGCAGCACGAUAGUCGAGAGUCGCGCAGCGAGAAUUUUUAAUACAGCUACAGCCGCGAGUAUAAUUAAUUCCCAGCCAUGAGCAGUUCGUGACCGAAGCUUGACCACAGCUUACACUUUCGUUAAAGCAGAGAUUUAUUACAACUGAGGUAACCAACGGAAAAAAGCUGAAUCGAAUGCGCUAUGAAUUAUCG
rnacentral:misc_RNA from 1 species